rnacentral:rRNA from 1 species
AUUGAACGCUGGCGGCAGGCCUAACACAUGCAAGUCGAACGAGUGGCGGACGGGUGAGUAAUGUCUGGGACACUGCCUGAUGGAGGGGGAUAACUACUGGAAACGGUAGCUAAUACCGCAUACCAUCGGAUGUGCCCAGAUGGGAUUAGCUAGUGGGUGGGGUACCGGCUCACCUAGGCGACGAUCCCUAGCUGGUCUGAGAGGAUGACCGGCCACACUGGAACUGAGACGCGGUCCAGACGCCUGCGGUAGGCAGCAGUGGGGAAUAUUGCGCAAUGGGGGCAAGCCUGAUGCAGCCAGGCCGCGUGUAUGAAGAAGGCCUUCGGGUUGUAAAGUACUGUCAGCGGUGAGGCGGUACCCGCAGAAGAAGCACCGGCUAACUCCGUGCCAGCAGCCGCGGUAAUUC